AUUGAACGCUGGCGGCAUGCUUUACACAUGCAAGUCGAACGGUAACAGGCCGCAAGGUGCUGACGAGUGGCGAACGGGUGAGUAAUGCAUCGGAACGUGCCCAGUCGUGGGGGAUAACGCAGCGAAAGCUGUGCUAAUACCGCAUACGAUCUGUGGAUGAAAGCGGGGGACCUUCGGGCCUCGCGCGAUUGGAGCGGCCGAUGUCAGAUUAGGUAGUUGGUGGGGUAAAGGCUCACCAAGCCGACGAUCUGUAGCUGGUCUGAGAGGACGACCAGCCACACUGGGACUGAGACACGGCCCAGACUCCUACGGGAGGCAGCAGUGGGGAAUUUUGGACAAUGGGCGCAAGCCUGAUCCAGCAAUGCCGCGUGCAGGAAGAAGGCCUUCGGGUUGUAAACUGCUUUUGUACGGAGCGAAAAGGCUCCCUCUAAUACAGGGGGCUCAUGACGGUACCGUAAGAAUAAGCACCGGCUAACUACGUGCCAGCCGCCGCGGUAA
rnacentral:rRNA from 1 species